GACGAACGCUGGCGGCGUGCUUAACACAUGCAAGUCGAACGGAAAGGCCCCUUUGGGGGUACUCGAGUGGCGAACGGGUGAGUAACACGUGAGUAACCUGCCCUUGACUUCGGGAUAACUUCAGGAAACUGGGGCUAAUACCGGAUAGGAAUCCUUGCUGCAUGGUGGGGGUUGGAAAGCUUCGGCGGUUUUGGAUGGACUCGCGGCUUAUCAGCUUGUUGGUGGGGUAGUGGCUUACCAAGGCUUUGACGGGUAGCCGGCUUGAGAGGGCGACCGGCCACAUUGGGACUGAGAUACGGCCCAGACUCCUACGGGAGGCAGCAGUGGGGAAUAUUGCACAAUGGGCGGAAGCCUGAUGCAGCAACGCCGCGUGCGGGAUGACGGCCUUCGGGUUGUAAACCGCUUUCAGCAGGGGCGAAGCUUGUGGUGACGGUACCUGCAGAAGAAGCACCGGCUAACUACGUG
rnacentral:rRNA from 1 species